UGUGUUGGUGAAACAAGAUCAUGUCGCGU
rnacentral:sRNA from 1 species